GACGAACGCUGGCGGCGUGCUUAACACAUGCAAGUCGAACGGAAAAGCCCUGCUUUUGUGGGGUGCUCGAGUGGCGAACGGGUGAGUAACACGUGAGUAACCUGCCCUUGACUUUGGGAUAACUUCAGGAAACUGGGGCUAAUACCGGAUAGGAGCUCCUGCUGCAUGGUGGGGGUUGGAAAGUUUCGGCGGUUGGGGAUGGACUCGCGGCUUAUCAGCUUGUUGGUGGGGUAGUGGCUUACCAAGGCUUUGACGGGUAGCCGGCCUGAGAGGGUGACCGGCCACAUUGGGACUGAGAUACGGCCCAGACUCCUACGGGAGGCAGCAGUGGGGAAUAUUGCACAAUGGGCGGAAGCCUGAUGCAGCAACGCCGCGUGCGGGAUGACGGCCUUCGGGUUGUAAACCGCUUUCGCCUGUGACGAAGCGUGAGUGACGGUAAUGGGUAAAGAAGCACCGGCUAACUACGUG
rnacentral:rRNA from 1 species